rnacentral:rRNA from 1 species
UACAGAGGUCUCAAGCGUUGUUCGGAUUCAUUGGGCGUAAAGGGUGCGUAGGCGGUGUGGUAAGUCGAAUGUGAAAUCUCGGAGCUCAACUCCGAAACUGCAUUCGAUACUGCCAUACUCGAGGAUUGUAGAGGAGAUCGGAAUUCACGGUGUAGCAGUGAAAUGCGUAGAUAUCGUGAGGAAGACCAGUUGCGAAAGCGGAUCUCUGGGCAACUCCUGACGCUGAGGCACGAAGGCUAGGGGAGCAAACGGG